UAUCUGUGUCAGUGUAUAUGUGUGUGGCUGUGUAUAUCUGUGUGGAUGUCAGUGUAUAUGUGUGUGGCUGUGUAUAUCUGUGUCAGUGUAUAUGUGUGUGUCUGUGUAUAUCUGUGUGAGUGUCAGUGUAUAUGUGUGUGGCUGUGUAUAUCUGUGUCAGUGUAUAUGUGUGUGGCUGUGUAUAUCUGUGUGGAUGUCAGUGUAUAUGUGUGUGGCUGUGUAUAUCUGUGUCAGUGUAUAU